ensembl:lncRNA
ACAUGUAUAAAAUAUUAUCACUCUGCAGCUGCAUUUGACGAUCAUCACAGAGCUUGUAUGCAUUCUAAUAAAUUCAUCAAAGGAAAAGAUCAGGCAGGUGCCAAGUGCUGCAAAAUGACCUGGACAAAGAAUGCAGAGGGUUUAGGAGUGCUUUGCAUAAAUAGGAGAAUUAUGUGCUUCACGGAGCAAGCAGUGUUCAGGUUUAAAGACACAGAUGUGUGACAGGCAUUCAGACAGUAAAUUCUGCACCUCCAGUGAUUCUGUGAUAGAAAUGUGUGCCUAUACCUCUGUAUAAUCUGCAACAAUCGAUAAAAUCAAGCAGGUUUUUUAUGAAAACAGUUUUAUUGGAAACUUUUUUAACAGUUUAAGACUCUCUCUUGUAAGUAACUGUCCCUGGACUACUGAGGUGGGUGGAGGGCUCCAUCCCCUCCUGGCAGCCCAGGGCUGAGCCCAUAUCCCUUUCAGGACCUGGCUGCAGCACCUGCUCGCUGCUUGGCAGCCUGACAUGCUUUCUGGUUUGUCCCUUUGGAUAGUGAUACGCUGAUUCAAGCUGUACAGGAGAAACCAACAACUCAACUCUGUAUUGUGAUGAGACUCUCAGUGCUGUAUGGGCAGAAUGGGGAAGCAUUCAAGCGCAUUUCCUUUCUCAGCACGUGGGAUACAGGAGGGCAGCAAAGCGUCAGCUGUGAUGAACCACUCAUGUAUCCUUCUUGUAUCUGCAGGUCAGCUGCUGUUUAUGUUCGUUAGUAAAUUAUGUGCCAACCUCAUCACGUCACCCUGCAAUCACAGUGCUGUGUUCCAUGUGUUCAACCUCCAUACAUUUGUGUUUAUAUUGAGCUAUUGCAUCCUGCUCAGGGGUGAGGGCACCUCUCUGCUGCUGCACAAAUUGGAGAACUUCUGCUUCACCAAAGCUCAUAAUGCCUUCAAGGCAUCGGUUCCUCUCAUAGCAUUUCCCAAUCAAAGUAUUAAAAUGAGAGUUUUAUAUCCAGCCAAUACUCUUCUCAUAGCUGAUAAAGGCAAAUGAGGAAUCAUUUAUAUGAUUUAGGUUAUGAGAAGAGUAUAGGAAGAGAAUAUAAGCAAAGCAUUUAUUUCCCACCUGUAUAGAAAUGAAGCUGCUGUUUCUAAUAAAUCCUACUUGAAAAGAUGGCACUGUUAUGAAAGAACGGAGAGAGAGACCUGAGGCUUUACCUUCGUGCUGCUCCAGCCCCCAGGAGUUCAAGUAUUUUGAAUACUUAAGUUUGAGAAGACGUGGGAACUGACGACUUCUGUCCUCCGAGGAGAUGGCAUGAAUUACUGCAAUUGGAAAAUAAUUAAGAAGCAAUUACAGAAACAAACAGAAAUCCUGUGCGUACAGCCAGGCCAUUAAAAUAUGUUCUCUAAGAAAUUACCACAGCCACGCUGGAAAGAAAAGCAACAUUUAAAUAAAGUUAUGGUUAUAACAAACUAAAAAGGAAGAAAAAACCAAAGCAAUUCGUGCUGGAAAGACAAGCAUGGGCUGCUAUGUGACUGUGCUGCAAACGGGAGUGUGUGCAAGUGGGACACGAGGGGGGAACAGCUUCAUGCCUCCCUUCUCCAGCAAGCAGCACUGUACCAUUGCACCAGUGAAAUAAGUCAUGAGUGACCAAGGGACUUGAAGUGUUCCAUAGUCAGCCAUCAUCUUGGUGAGCACCUUAAUGGUAUACCCUUGGUUUGCUUUGGCACUGGGUAGUCCUGCAAUAGCUGUGUUGAUGUAGAUCAGGGCAUAUCCUUUCCUAAUGCCUUCAGUGAGUCUGAUGUCAGCAUGAGAUCAUCAAUAUAGUGGUACAGCUUGAUGUUAUUAGGAUUAUUCCAAUCUGCUAGGUCAUGCGCCACUAAGUUAUGACAAUAUGUAGGCAAGUGCACAUACCCUUGUGGCAGGAACCAAGAGGUCCACUGCCUGCCUCCCCACAUAAAUGCAAACUGAUCUCGUAAUUCUUUGUGGAUGGGAAGGGAAUACAUUUGCAAAGUCUAGGACACACUAUUAGGUUUCUAACUCUGCACUCAAUGUAUCCACCAGGGAGGCAAUAUUGGGUACAGCUGCAUGAAUGGGCAGUGUGACCUUAUUCAGUUCUACAUAAUCCACUGUCAUUCUCCACGUGCUGUCUGACUUCCACACUGGCCAUAUGGGGGAACUGGAUGGGCUAUAUGCAGGUCUUAUGAUCCCUACUUUUUCUAGUUCCUGAACCAUUCUAAGUAUUUCCUUUUGACCCUCUGGGAAUCUAUACUGUUAAGUAUUAGUAAUCUGGCACAGAAUGGGCAAGGGAAUACGUUCAUGUUUCACAUGGCCUCUUAAUAUUGCCUGCACUGCCUGGAAACUAAUACAUCUCUCUCUCUCAGUCUGAGCUCUCCUAUGGUCAUCUGGAGAGCCAGACCGCAUAACAUGUCUGUGCCUGUUAUAUACUUCAGAGCUGGGGCAAUAGACACCUUACACUCCUGGUGUGGAAGACACCCAACUUUAACCAUGUCUGGGUUACAGGCACGGUCUAUCCCCCAAACCCACCAAUCACCACCUUGGAUUUGGAAUUUGGUUGGAUCACCAUAAAUAAUUAACAUUUCUGCACCCAUAUCAGCUAAUGCCAUAACUCACCCUAUAUUCUUUUGGGACCCAAACACAGUCAGUUUAACAUAGGGACCCCCAGGCAGGACUGGAGGCCCCAGGUACAGAGGGGCUAGCAUCCCUUUCAUACAAGUAGCUGAGAAUUGUCAACUCCUUUUCCUCAGGUGACUCUGGCAUAGAGGCCUGGGUCACUUCAGGAGGCUUUUUGCUUUUAUUAGAAACUAGGAAAUUUUCCAGGUUCCACGUUGUUGUUGUUGUUUUGGUUAUUUUUUAUUUCCCCCUCCAGUAAUUCUCACCCCAGCUUUUUGGGGAUAUUUUGAAACUUCUGCUUCAGGGUCCCAGUAAUCAUCCAGCACAUGAUUUUUUUUAAGGUAAUCCAUGUAAAUAAGUAUCUGGCUGGCUUACCAAGUGCAGUACUGUAAUGCUAUAAUGUGGUAGAAAGCACAGCAAUAAUGGAGAGUGGCACAAUCCUAGGCUACACCAAACAAGAACAAGCCCAAAUGCAGCAGCCAGCCAGGGAUGCAAAAACAAAGGAAGAAAAGCUGCUUACCUUUAGAAGGCCUCCAGGGAGCAGAGAUCUCAAGCAAGAUGCUUUCACCUCCACUGCCAGCCCUUAAAUGAGGCCUGGGAAGAGGAGGAUCCUGACUCCACCCUUCUGGUCACUCAGCUGCAUUGUAUUGCACUGCAUUGCAUUGCAUUGCAUGCACCUGAGAUCCCCUGGGCUGGCCCUGCCUUCCCACCAGGUGCUCAAUCACUGCUUCAGGCCGUUACUUAGCAUUGCCACUACAGGUCCCUCACAUGGAACAUUCCUUUUACUUCCCAGUUAAAAGCACUUGUUUAGGAUUUUUGCUUUUUCCCGGUGACAAAGUGAGUGAUGCUCAGUAGCCACGUUUACAGAGUGCUCAAAUCCCUACCGACAGACUGCUUUUGUCAUGAAAAGCAAAGUUGUCAUGGUGACAGAGCAGCCUGAUGCCUCACUGCACGGAAGUGCCAGCAGGAGGUGGGAGCGGAGGGGCACAUGGGGUCAAUGAGAGCGGUCCCGCAGUCACCCGACCUUUCACAGCAUUAACAGUGCAUCUCUCGGAUAACGGAGGUAACAGGAUGUGCAUAAGAAAAGUGGAAACUUCUUUCAUUCACUGCUGGUGGGAGAAAAGGAGUCAUCUGCGGAGUUAUUUCAACAGAGAGAUAUGUGACCGGCAUCGAGACGAGAGCCAUGACAUUCUUCUGACAAGUAAUAUCGACAGUAAUUGGCUUCAUCCCUCUUUCAGUGGCUCUGUCGUUAAUGAGAUUUGUGAUCUAAUUUUUCAUAUCUCUGUCAGAUCUGUUGGGAAUAAUUUUUCUAACAAACAUUUAUGGACAUAAUAUGUGCGCAUUCAUCGAAUACGUCCCUUACAAUCCAGCCUUCUCCAGGAAGUAUUUCUAUUCUGACAGAUGAGUUUAAUAAAAAUCUCUCUGAGCUGAGCAUUCUGAAACAUAAGAAUUCAAUAAUAAUAAAAACUUAACCUGCUCCUUCUAAAUACAGAGCGAGCAUCCUCACUUGUAGCUCUCAUAAACCCACUCCAUGUGCGCGUGGUGAUGAUACACCCAUCAUUCCCAUUUUAUAAAGGAGGUGAAGGGGCAAAGCGGGUUGCCAGGUUUGCCUGACAGUUCUCUCUUAAGGUUUACUUACAGCUGCUUGCAGAGUGUGCAGGAGACUGCAUAUGAGCCCAGCAUCAGUCCUGCAGGAGUCAGCAGCCAGGCACAGACUGGCUCCUGGUGCUGCCUGAUGGAGAGUGGCCGCUGGGUGGAAGGAGCUGCUGUUCCCUCCUUUGGACCCAGAGUAACUUUUAAAUCAUUCUGGGAAGAAAGGAAUGGCAUAUUUGGUGUCUCAGAUGUUCCUUGAGCAGUACGACCUGCGCAGAAGUGACGUAUAGUGGACACAAAACAGCUCCUCAAUUAGGGAGACGUAGGGGCAGAAUCACAUCUCCCCAGCAGAACUCAAGAAGUCCUUCUUAGCACUACCACUGCGCAACCGAAGGUAUUUGAUCUGAAGUAUGAAGAAUGAUUUAAUCAGACAGAUUAACCUACCUGGUGCAUCUGAAACACUUCCAUUCCAUCGAAGUCCAUCAACAACAUAGGCUUUAAGUGGAGUUUUAAAAAGUUUAUGAGAAGAAUAUGGAAGGAAUAAGGAGAGUGACAAUUCAGCACGUUUUAGCUCACGUGCUUCUGCAGCAGAAGGUACAGCACUGGGAAGGGGGGCACUGCUGUGACUGACCCCUCCACAGGACCUGGCCACCCCAGAGCAUAUUUUCAAGGACUAAUUUCAAGUGUAUACGUUAUAAAUCUGCAAACUAUCUCUGUGAGCCGUGCAUGCUUUACAUCCCUUCAAUCCCAUUGCCUAAUAUUAGUGAAAGUGACAAGACAUUAACUGCAUAUUAAUUGAAUUUUUCACGGAUGAUUAAAAUACAGAAACUGUGCAACAGAUUUCUCCUUUGAGGUGUAAUAAAAGUGAAGGGGAAAUGAAUAAAUUGCCUAUUUUAGAGAUUUUAUAUAUAGUGCAAAUAGACAUUUUCCUUUUAGACAUCUCACCAGGAAGAAAGCAUUUGUUGCAGGGAGCAAGAAGAUGUACUGCUGUCUGAGUGUGACACUCAGCAUGCAGUGACAUGGGCAGACUCUGGUCCCAGGCAGGAGCACAGCCCAUGGGUUUCCAGGGGGCAGGAGCAGGUACUGAGCACAGGAAUCACUGCUCCCAGCAAUGCAGAGUCACUGAAGUCAGGUAACAUCCUCCGUCCUUAAAAAAGAAGUUGUGGAUGCCCCAUCCCUGCAGGCAUUCAAGGCCAGGCUGGAUGUGGCUCUGGGCAGCCUGGUCUGCUGGUUGGCGACCCUGCACAUAGCAGGGGGUUGGAACUGGAUGAGCAUUGUGGUCCUUUUCAACCCAGGACAUUAUGCGAUUCUACGAUUCUAUGAAAAGAAAAUACCUUCCUUGGGUGAUGUGCCAUGAUUAGCCUGAGCAGCAGAGGAGCAAUGCAUUUUGCUGUCUUUAGCUAUUUCUCUAGCAUUAUGCAAUGGGAGAAAUAAAGUUGGAAGCCAUGCGGAGCAGCACUGCUCUGGCCCUUUGCAGACUCUGGACGAGCAGAGCAGGACCUGUGAGGACAUUUCUUUUUGUACCCUCACCACACACAGCUUGCUGUGCUGCAGCUGUCACAGCUCACAAGUUGCAAACCUUAAUGCCAGGAGAGAGCCCAUAGGCACUGUAGGAGCUAGCUCUACAUGUGGCCUUGCUCUGUUGCAUCCAUGUUUGCAGAGAGCCAUCCAGCCCGGUGACCCAGCCGUAAUUUGAGGUCCUGGAGCAAAAUCUGUCGAAGGAGAGCAGAUUUAGGUUGGAUGUGAGGGGGAAGUUCUUUCCUAUGAGAGUGGUGAGGUGCUGCAACAGCUGCCCAGAGAGGCUGUGGAUGCCCCGUCCAUCCCUGGAGGUGUUCAAGGCCAGGUUGGAUGGGGCCCUGGGCAGCCUGGGCUGGUAUGAAAUGUGGAGGUUGGUGGCCCUGCCUGUGGUGGAGGGGUUGGAGCUUCAUGAUCCUUGAGGUCCCUUC